rnacentral:piRNA from 1 species
UUUAGUUUAUAGAUGUCCUCC